CUCCUCUCCCUUUUUCUCUACGAUUCUCCAGUACGACGAUGGCAGAGGAGGUGAAGCAUGCAGCGGAGAAUAAGUGAAAGAUGAGCACCCUCUUCCACCCACCCGGCCUGCGUGGGAGGUCAACAACUGACAGGUCAAAAGUCCCACGCGACAAAAACGCAAAUAACUCGUUUUAUAGCCGUGGAGUCGGCUGAGGUCCCGCGGGGGUCGCGCGGUGAGCCGGCGUCCGUGACCAGGAAUACUCGUUUCCGUCACCGAGCGGAAGGGACACGCGGUCGUCGCAAAGUCAACCCGACGAAGGAUUGCUGCGUCAGAGAAAUAGAGCAGCAAGCAACUCGUGUUCAGAAUGUCUUAUAGUCACCUACUGCUCUUAUUUUUAUUGAUUUAUUCACACUUU